GGGGAAUUGUUCGCAAUGGGCGCAAGCCUGACGACGCAACGCCGCGUGGAGGACGAAGAUCUUCGGGUCGUAAACUCCUGUCGAGCGGGAAGAACGCUUCCCGGGUGAAUAAUCCGGGGAAUUGACGGUACCGCUAAAGGAAGCCCCGGCUAACUCCGUGCCAGCAGCCGCGGUAAAACGUAGGUGGCAAGCGUUAUCCGGAUUUACUGGGCGUAAAGCGUGUGCAGACGGGGCUUCAAGUGGUGUAUGAAAUCGCUCGGCUCAACCGGGCGCGGGUAUGCCAGACUGGAGUGCUAGAGGGCGCGAGAGGGACGUGGAAUUCCGGGUGUAGUGGUGAAAUGCGUAGAGAUCCGGAGGAACCCCUGAGGCGAAGGCGGCGUCCUGGCGCACACCUGACGUUCAGACACGACAGCAUGGGGAGCGAAC
rnacentral:rRNA from 1 species